rnacentral:tRNA from 1 species
GCGAGUGUAGUUUAGUGGUAGAACAGUUCCUUCCCAAGGAACAGGCGGGGGUUCGAUUCCCCUCACUCGCU